rnacentral:rRNA from 1 species
GAUGAACGCUGGCGGCGUGCUUAACACAUGCAAGUCGAACGAAGCAUUUAAGACAGAUUACUUCGGUUUGAAGUCUUUUAUGACUGAGUGGCGGACGGGUGAGUAACGCGUGGGUAACCUGCCUCAUACAGGGGGAUAGCAGCUGGGAACGGCUGGUAAUACCGCAUAAGCGCACAGUACCACAUGGUACAGUGUGAAAAACUCCGGUGGUAUGAGAUGGACCCGCGUCUGAUUAGCUUGUUGGCGGGGUAACGGCCCACCAAGGCGACGAUCAGUAGCCGACCUGAGAGGGUGACCGGCCACAUUGGGACUGAGACACGGCCCAGACUCCUACGGGAGGCAGCAGUGGGGAAUAUUGCACAAUGGAGGAAACUCUGAUGCAGCGACGCCGCGUGAGUGAAGAAGUAGUUCGCUAUGUAAAGCUCUAUCAGCAGGGAAGAUAGUGACGGUACCUGACUAAGAAGCUCCGGCUAAAUACGUG